AACGCGAAAUUGGAGCUGGUCAACCGAGGUAUACGGUGUACCGACGAUAAGUGCGGCAGGUUCGAAUAUUUAUUUUUAUUUUUCCCCCAACACGUUGCGGGAAUUGAGUUACAGCCGAGACUCGAUGCUUUCGCGGCGGGUACCGAAAAUUCGAGAGGAUCAGUUUUUUUAUCGGAAAUUCUUCGAAGGGUGACGCCUUCGGUGUACGUCGUAGCGCGCUUCGCCUUUUUCUUGCUGCUUAAAUUUUAUACACGUGACGUCCAAUUAACUCCGAAGCGGAGCGAAUUCGACGAAUCUUAUCUAGCAAAUAUGCGUAAAAGACGAGAGUAGGUGACGAUCUGCCGUCGCGUGCACUUUGGGGGAACUGAAUAUUCACGUUGCGUUUCAUCGCGGUGUCGAUGAAAAAUCUCAAGUGUUAUUACGAGACGAGAUAUUCUUGUUUCAAAUAAAAGUUUGCGGUAAAUCGCAACCUCUCACAUCGUCAGCGAAUCCUCGCAGACUCGCAUUCGUAAGGAUGCAAUUUUGAAACUAAAGGAAGUAUAAAAUAAAGUACACGUUCACCAGUUUUAAUUAACGAAGAUAUUACGCCACGGCGGCGUUAAUCAAUGACUUUUGAUUACCUCGAAAAACAACCCUCAACAGGCCUAUAAACGAUAAUGUCCAGUCUAUAAAAUCAAUUUGAAAAACCAGAGCAUAACCUGGGAUUUUAUUAUCGGUAUACCGUAUAUAAUGUAUAAUAUAAAUGUUACCGCGAAACCGCUAGCGGGGAUUUCCUGCGAGUCUGUCCGAAGGGAAGAAAAGCAAAAGAAAAAAAAGAAGAAAAAAAAAACAACGCCAAAAAGGAGAAAGAAAAACAAAAGAAAUAUACAUCGAAUGAAAAAGUCAAGUUCGUUGAUGGCUUCGAUGGCCGAUGUAAAUAUCUUCUUAACUACGCGUAUCUCGAGCAAGGACUUAAAUUCUCAGUGACACGCAACGCCGCCGCAAAGACGCGACAACUUUGCGGCCACGUAGAGGUAUACGUAUAUAGCUGUUUCUCCGCUGCCGCUGCUGCUGCUGCUGCUGCUGCUGCUGCUGGUGGUGAUGCCGCCGUUGCACCUGUGAUUAUACUGCGGAGUCUGCGAGACGCAAUGAUUCCCCUAUUAUACCGCCUGCGCGAGGAUAUGUCUUCUCCACAAAAUUACAGUCAUUAAACUUGAAUUCUUCAAAGGGAUACCAUCGAGUGUGGGAUAUACGUAGUGGGAUAUAUAUGUAUACACACGAGAGUUAAGUACCGAGGUAACUCGUACAUGAAUUUCUACAGCAGCUUCUGUUAUCCCUGGAGCCGCGGCCGACAACCGUACGAAGAAGAAAUAGAUAUGGAGGCUAUUAGACUAUAAGGUACACCGCAGAUGCAUAUGAUAUAGAAAACAAGACGGGGUCCGCUAAGCUCACACUUAACCACCAGAGGCUCCGAAGGUGCUCGGAGUAGCCGUAGCCGUAGCCGUGCGGAUGUUUUAUCCGCGUAAACGUGAAAAAUGAACGAUGAAAAAUUAAAUAAAAUUCACCCACCUCGGUAAUUUCGCUAAAAGAAAACAAAAAAACAAAAAAAAAAAACAACUCACUGAAUUAUUACCGAUGCUAAUUAACUCUUGUAAUACGCGAAGUGCAUCUGCAAAGCUCCUCUGCACAAACGUCCAG